ensembl:lncRNA
GCCAGGCAACGGAGCGCUGCAUUAAUAUGCGCGGCGGAGGGAGCAGGGGAAGCCUCUUGCCUCUGGAGCGUGGCGGCAGCGGCGGCGGCAUCAGCGGCAGCAUCAGCAGUUGGCGGAGCCUGUGGUGGGGUUUGGCGUCAGCGUGGAGUGCAACUCCCCCUCUCAGCGCCCCAGCUAGACAGCCAACUCAUUCCUCAGUCUGCCGCCGAAGCAGCUGAGAGGGUCUCGGUCGCACUUCAGUGGAAGAAUGAUCCUCUCACUUUAUCAUUGUCUUUCUUUCUAGAACUUUUUGCUCUGUCUUCCUGGCGUCUUCAUUCUCUUGUGGACAUUUAAGUUGGGGGACGCCCAACGCAAAGCUCUAAACUCUUUUAAAGUUUUGAGUGAGAGUUGGAACAGCAUCAAUUAAACAGCAUCCUUGUAGUGUCCUAGUGUGGGGAGGUGGCUGUGACCGUGGCAAAUUAAAAACAGAGGGAGAAAGCACUGAGCACAUGAUUCAUGCUCCCUCCUCUUCUCUUCUCUUCUCUCCUCUCCUGUCAUUUCAUCUGCUCAUCACUGGCUCUCACUUCAUCUCUGAGAGGACAAAGUGAUGGAGAGGAGUUCUCCUCUCCUCCUGAACGCAGAAGAGGAACUUGAUGAGAGAUUGAAACUCGGGGCGCCAGUGAGAUGAAACUCGCCAGCGAGAGGAAAUCCGUCCACCCGAGCGAGAGACAAACUGCACAGACGCCCCGAAACGGACAGUCCGCAAGGAGAAGAGCGAGUGGACACAAACCUCUCUGAAAUCCAGGAGCCCCCCCCCCCAGCCGAAGAAUGACCGGAGCCGACUUUCCCCUUAGUGUCCAGGGAUGUCUGCCCACUCCAGAAAGGCAGUCCUGUCCAGCAUGUCCAAUGUUACGUUCCUCCUGAUGCUGUGCAAGCAGAUUGGUCUGAGAGAAAAGCUGCAGACUUUUUCUGGGAAAAUGGUCAACACUGUGAUCAGUGAUGAAGAAAAGGGAAUCCAAGACAAGGAGGGCAAGGAGGAGUCCAUUCUGGCCAUGCUUGGAAUCAUUGGGACCAUACUAAACCUCGUUGUCAUCAUCUUUGUCUACAUUUACACCACACUGUAGUCAACCCCUCCGCUGCUCCCGGAAGGCAAAGAAUCACCCUGACUUCCCGCCAUGCCUAAUGGUUCAGACUCCAGACUGGCUGUCCAGGCCGUUGACUCGCCCGACUGCCACAUAGAUCUCAGACAAUGUUAUUACGGCAAGACUAACUUACGGUUACAUCGAAAAAGGCCCCAGAGAAUCACCAGGGCUUCCCGUUACUGGGUCACUACCACUGUCACAGAACAAGCCCUUACUCCACUGUAAAUAUGCAUGAACAUGCUUUACUGCUGUGAUGAUGGCCUCGUCACAAACAUGGAGGAGCCAAUGAAACUCUUUUCAGUGACUUUAAGUGAGCGAAAUGAGCUUUCUAGCAUUUUUUGAUGUACUGUUUGAAAUGGCACUGAUGCUGUAGGUUAAACCCAUUUAUGAAAUCCACAAAUGGCAACUCUGUGCAGUAUGUUGCUCACCUUGUCAAGGACAUAUUGAGUAUAGUUGUAAAUGCUUUAUUUUACGCAAUACAUUUUGCAUCUUGCGUAUGACACUCCAUAAAUAUGGGAUUUUGUCAAUCACGAAACAUGAGCAAAAGAGCAUGCCUGAUUUAAGUGAUGCAUCCACACUUUUUACAAAGAUGGAGAUUUUACCAUGAGGCAUUCCUUUCAGAAGUGUUGUCUAGGAGCUGAUUUUUUUUUGUCAUGGUCUCAGAAUCUGAAAGCAGCUGGCUGCAAAGGACCUCUACAGGAAUCAUGGAUUCAUUAUCUUCAUGAUCAGCAUUUAACUUCUAUAUAAUGAUCAGGUCAGUAUCUGAGCUAGUGGUCAUGCUUAAUGUAAGGAUGCCUCACGAAGGCUUUGCAAGUCUGCAAUGUUUUUUUCUUAAAUGCAUCACCGUGUUUUAUUUGAUUGGUUUACUGCUCUGUUUUGUAGCUCAUUUGUAGGGUAGGAUGAAAUAGAUGCAUUUGUGUUCUACACAGUUGUAACGAGCUAUUUCAGUAUUUUUCAGCUUAUAUUGCCUUAUGAAAUAAAAAGGGAAUUUGAAUCUUAUAUCCA